CUGGCGUUGCAGGCUGUGGCUGAACUCACUGCUUCCCAAUGCUGGCCCCUCAAGUCUUCACUUUUAAGAGGUAAGCAGGAAGCCUCAGAAGGAACUUCGGGAAGCAACCUGAGAACGUGUGGGAGUGUGGGAGCAGCCGUUCUCUUCACCAGCCCUUUAUUUGGAAGGAGACUCAAGCAGGCAGAAGUGCCGGAUUCCAGCCAGUCAGGGGUCUGUGAAAAGUGUUCUUAUGGAUUCUAAUUUGCCAUAUUUUCCUAUUGAAUGAUGUUUGGUCUCUUGUACUCUGCAUUGUUCUCAAACUUGGCUGCCCAUUAGAUUCCCCUGGGAAGCUUUUCCCAACUUCACCCUGGCCAGUUGCAUGGAAAUCUCUGGGGGAGGGACUCAGGCACCAGUAUUUUCACAAUCUUCCAGUUUGAGUUCACUGCCUUGAAGUGUUUGAAUCUUAGAAGCCCAAGGAUUCUUAAACAAUGCCCAGGCCCCGCCAUCCCUGAGCCCAACCAGCUUGGUCUGCGCUGGCCCUUAGGCCAUGAUCUGCAGGUGAUCUGAAUGUACAACCAGAUUUGAGAAGCAUUGUCUCAACACUUUGGGUAGCAGGAGAAAAUGCUUAAGUUAUUUAAAAAACAGUCUAGAAAGAUAAAAUUGAGAACAUUUGUAUGUGUCAGCAAUUACAUGUUUACAGCUUUUAUCGUGAUUCAACAUCCUACACUGUUCUGUGGUAAAGCUUGGCCAAAGAGGGACAGCACAGGUGGAGAUUUAUUACAAUAAAAGGGCCGUAAAAUGAGUAAUGCUUAAAUGCUGAUAAGAUAGGAUCAAGGGGCUAUGUUGGGGCAUUGCAAGAGCAGAUGGAUUGCAUGCAAAAUGAUAAGGAAAGGUGAAAGCACUCCAUGCAGCCCUCAUGGCCUCCCUGACAGCAGCUGCAGGUCCUGACACAUCCGCAGCCUCUGCACUUCUGCAGUCUCCGGGGGUGAGCCUGGGGCAUGAUGGAGCCAUGACGACAGGCCGCAGGCCUGGUAGUGAGGGUCAGCCAGAGCCCACCCAGGAAGGGCGACAUGCAGGCGGGGGCUUGGGGUUGAGACCCCCUGCACUGGGGAAGAUGAAGCCUCCCCUGGCCAACUGUGGCCUGCUUCUGGCUGGACGUCGAGGUUCACAGAAUUAUUUGAGGAUACUGGAGAACAUUUAUGGAAAAAUGGAAUUAAAAGGUAAGCUUUUUUUGUGCAAAUUUUUUUGA
rnacentral:lncRNA from 1 species